GUUCUUCCGCCAGCGCCCAUCGUGAAGACCACAGUUUCCUGUCGCGUGGAUGUGUUUCCUCUCUGGCCAUUGCCAUCCGCCCAAAUCUACAGACAUCCCGCAUGUUCCCGGGCUCGUCUCCCCAAUACAGGGCACCAAGGCUGUAGACUGCGCAGCCCUCCUGGAGACAGAUGGAAGCUCCUUGGGUCGACAGAUUACAGCUUCUGGAACCCCCUACUCCCUUCAACUCCGAGAUGGACACCCACUGUCCAGGGAGAGGAUGCCUGGAAAUAACAGCUGGGAUCUACAGUGGCCAAAGAGUUGUCUCCGUCUUGCUACAUCGACAAACUGGUGCUCCUGAGUGAGGAUUGUGCCCUGGGAUGGGGGAUUCAGUUUCUUCAUUUAUAGUUGGAAGUGGGUGAAGUGCCAGGAGCGACGGUACACUCCAGAGUGCUGUGCCCUGAUGGGCCUUUGAGUGGCCAGUGCAGUGGAUCAUCAGCCCUGUCUCCCAAGAGCUCCAGUCCCUUCUCCGGAGAGGAAGUGGGUCCACUGGCAGCUCAGGAGGCCAUAGCAGGAUUGUCACGUGUGCUCAACAGUCCUCCUCGGCUUUCCAGAAGAGGCUGGAACAGGGCCCUUGAAGGUAUGACUCCAGAUGCCUCACUAGAGAGCUGCAGAGGUCCAGCAAAGGCCCACAGUCAUGAAGAAAAGCUGAGGCUGCUUCCCCACCCGGGCCAGCGGGAACAUGGCUCCUCCAGCCCCUGACACCUCACUUCCCCACAUCUUCAUAGUGUGAAGUAAAGAGCUACACUAGGGUCACAGGAGCCCCUGGGAACCUGCAUGGCUUCAUUGGGUUCUGCAGUUGGCUUGAGAAUGGCUACAAUUGGGGUGCAGUUAGCCUUCUCUGAACUUCUCUGAACUCUGGGCACUUGUUAGGGAGCAGUCCCGUCCCAGACUCAUGAGGACUCGUGAGUCCUCAGAAGUUAACCCCCCCCCCAACUUGUCUUUUUUCAUUCAUUGUCUUAGUAAGAGGCCACUGAAGUAAUGGUUCUCAAAUUGUGGUCUCUGAAGCAACACUACCACCAUCCCUUGGAGUGUGUGAGAGUGGUCCUGCCUGCAGGCAGCAGUAUUUAGCAGCUCUCCAGGGGAUUCAUGGUUGAGAAGAUUGGAGAGUUGGGAAGCUACCUCUGUUACAGGCUGUAAAUAUGGUCACUGUUUCCUGGUCACUUGUCCCAGUUUGGCCCUUUCCUAAGCUGCCCAUCCAUCCAUUGUAGCUUCCCUCCUGCCCCUGUAUUCGAAAGUGAUUGUGGGCUGCCGGUGCCCUGGUCAUUGAUACUGCAGGGAGAGGAUGCCGAAAGCCUUUCCCCGUGUUUGGAGGAUCACACUUGUCCUUGCCAAACCCUGGUGCUUUCGAACAAUCUUCCUUCUCCCAGCCUAGUGGUCUCUCAGUUGCAGAUACCAGGCUCAUUUAGAGUCCUCUGCCAGUGCCGGGCAGUGUCCUAAGAGGACAUUAUUCUGGCUCAGUUUUGCAAAUAUCCCAUGAGCCCCAGUCACAUCCUCCUUCCAUGGCUGUGGAUUCGAGGCCUGCAGACAGACAUCUGUCUGGUAGAUGGGUGGCAUGUUCCCACAUGCAGUGUCAGGAGGAGAGUAAACUUGGCUAACAGGGAUGCUGGUCCCUGAGCCUGUCUAGCUCUGACCUGUUGUUACCAGCUUCCAGUUAGCUAACAGUGCCCGAAGCUACGUGAUGAUAUGGUGGAGAUAAGAAAGCAUCAUGAUCCCCCUCCCCUUUAAUUUUCUAGAUGUUUGUGGACAUCAGAGGGCCAAAGACGACACAAAGUGAAACUGGAGACACCGCCCCCCCUUGGCAUCAUGAAACUGCCGAUGUUACUGGCUCAUGCAUGGGAGACACCAGCAUACAAAGUCUUGACACCAACACCUCAGAGGGCUGUGUUCUGUCCCCGUGACCAUCAUCUAGUGCCUGGAAAGACUAGUGACAAGAACUUGUUGCCAACUUCCUAUUACCUCCCUAACAGUUGUGCAAUAAACCCCAUAGGUUAAUUCA
rnacentral:lncRNA from 1 species